rnacentral:other from 2 species
GGAACUCUGCCGUGUGCGUUACAAGAUGGUGAAGUUCCAGGCCAACACCAUCAAAAAAGGGAAUCCGGAGUCCAAUAGUGGCGCAUAGGCUUCCCACCCAAGUAUAUCUUGGGUGACAAACAGGAAGUAAUGCAAAGCUAUUGGCAGGAUACCCACCUGCUGAGGCAGGGUCUGGGAAACUCCCUGAGGACGGCAUGGUGGAGUUCCU